rfam:Nomascus leucogenys chromosome 2, whole genome shotgun sequence.
GUACUGCUCACUUUGGCACCACAUAUACUAAAACUGGGAGAGCAUAGAAAACAUUAGCAUGGCCCCUGUGCAAGGAUGACACAAUAAAGAAAUCCUUUUUAU